UACGGAGGGAGCGAGCGUUGUUCGGAAUUACUGGGCGUAAAGCGUGCGCAGGCGGAUUUCCAAGUCAGGAGUGAAAUCCCAGGGCUCAACCCUGGAAUUGCUCUUGAAACUGGAUGUCUUGAGUCUCGGAGAGGUUGGCGGAAUUCCCAGUGUAGCAGUGAAAUGCGUAGAUAUUGGGAGGAACACCAGUGGCGUAAGCGGCCAACUGGACGAGUACUGACGCUCAUGCACGAAAGUGUGGGGAUCAAAC
rnacentral:rRNA from 1 species